GCAUUUCCACCAUUACCAGAAUCAUUUAAUGAAGAAAACAGACUUGCACAACUGGAACGUAUGAAAUUACUUCAAGUCAAUCCUAUUGCUGGAAUUAGUUCAAAAAAUUAGUUCAAAAAAAUGUUUUUAAAGCAUAGCAAAAAGUACAGUCUACUAUACAUUAACAGUUCUUUAAUAUAAACUUCUAUAAGAUAGAAAGCAGAAGGAAAUAUACCGCUAUAUGUAUUACUUAACGAUAAUAACAAUAACAACAGUAAUAAUAAUUACAUUGCUUUAAAAAUAUGAAGUUCAAGUUUUACUGUUCACAUUCAUACAUCAUACAUACAUGUAUAUAUAUGUAUGUUGUAACAAGUAAUUGACAUCCUAAUAAUAAAAUUGAAUCACAGUUUAUAAUAUUAUCUAUGAACAAUGUUUUGUUAAAUAAUAUUACACAAUACUGCAUAAGAAUUUGAAGGAAAGUGAA